CCAAUAGCGUAUAUUAAAGUUGUUGCAGUUAAAAAGCUCGUAGUUGAAUUUCGGAAUUUUUUUAUUGGUUGAACCAACAGGUUCGUACUGAUUUUAAGAAUUUCUACCUUCUGGAGAACCUUAAUGUCAUUUAUUUGAUGUUUUGGGAAACCAGGACUGUUACCUUGAAAAAAUUAGAGUGUUUAAAGCAGGCUUAUGUCUGAAUAUAUUAGCAUGGAAUAAUGAAAUAGGACGGCAUGGUUCUAUUUUGUUGGUUUCUAGGAUCACCGUAAUGAUUAAUAGGGAUAGUUGGGGGCAUUAGUAUUCAAUUGUCAGAGGUGAAAUUCUUGGAUUUAUUGAAGACUAACUUCUGCGAAAGCAUUUGCCAAGGAUGUUUUCAUUAAUCAAGAACGAAAGUUAGGGGAUCGAAGACGAUCAGAUACCGUCGUAGUCUUAACCAUAAACUAUGCCGACUAGGAAUCGGACGAAGUUAAUUUUUUAAUGACUCGUUCGGCGCCUUACG
rnacentral:rRNA from 1 species